GUGGGAGCGAGCCUGCUCGCGAUGGCGGCGGGUCAGUCAGCACUGAUGUUGACUGACCCGCCACCAUCGCGAGCAGGCUCGCUCCUAC
rnacentral:misc_RNA from 1 species